UUUUAGUUCAGUCUAGUUCAAAUUAUUAAAUCUGACAUUGCCUUGAAAUAAUCAAAAGUACUGUUAACUUUCCAUCACAACAACCUACAACAACCAAUAAAUAAUAAGCUUGGACAACAAAUAAUUACAACAAAAAUAGAAAUUUCUACCCAUCUCUCUCACUGUCCCUUCCCUCUGUACAAUAAUGGCACCAUCACACAAAUAAUGGCAGCAUCAGUACAAAGCAAAGACCAACAAAACAUGUAUUGUCAUGUACAAAUUGCAGCCACAAUGAGCGUGUAUAUCCUCCAACCUCGACCUAACCAAAGCUCCCUCCCUCCCUAUCUUGAUCUCAGUCUGGAAAAACGGGUGAGAAAGGAGCUAUUUACCUGAGAAAAAAAAGACAAUUCCCUAGUACAUUAAAAGAAGAUAUUGUGGCAAUACAUGAGUUUAUGAGAACCUCAUAUAGUCAUGCGAAAACCUCAAAGCCAAGUGAUCUGCCAAAAUUAGGUGUGCCAUUAUGCUUGAAAAACUGAACAAUCCACUUUCUGUCGUUCCUUACCUACUAUUUUGCAAACUGAUGGGUGCGUUCUGGCUGUAAUAAACAGAUUUAUGGGUUCGUUAAUGAAAUCGAGGGAAACCCCCUUUCUUUCAAAAAAAUUUGCAAACUGAAAAUAAUGGGGCGGGCACAAGUGUACGCCAAAGGGGAUCAUAAACCAAAAUAUGUUUAGUAAAUCACAUGUGCAAUUAGAAGUAUCAUUUCGGGCACUUAGAAGUAUCAUUUUUCUCAUGUGCAAUUGAGGUAGCUGAAGUGUUGAACUCAAUAUCUGCAUGACAAUUGAUACUUGGCUGCAAAUCUCUUGUUAUGGGACAUACUAUGGGUAAUGAAUUCUAAUGAUAUUAGGCAUGGUUUAAAGCAGUAAAUAGAAAUAUCCAUACAUGAUUAUGGAAAAUACAUGAAAUAUAACAACUAUGAGUCUGCAACAACACCAGCAUGCUUGUCUUCGAUCAAUGUGCAAGAACAGCAUACGUUUCUAUGAACAACAUGCACAAUAUCACUUAAAUCAAACCUAUUUACAUCAUGUGGCAUCAUUCUUCAACACUACGAAUUCCAGUUGGAUCAAACUAACAUCACAUAAAUAAAAAUCAUAUACUCCCUCCGUUCCUAAAUAUAUGUCUUUCUAGAGAUUCCACUAUAGACUAUAUACGGAGCAAAAUGAGUGAAUCUAAACUCUAAAAAACGUCUAUAUACAUCCAUAUGUUGUUCGUAUUGAAAUCUCUAAAAAGACUUAUAUUUAAAAAACAGAGGGAGUAGUUAUUACGUAUCAGAAAUCAUGUUAAGCAAUAGAACAAUAGCAAAAAUCCAUGUUGAAAGUUACAACAGCAAGGGAACUUGAUACUUCAAGGCUAUACAUUGUUUGAUCAUGUAGAAUCUCAUACUCAUAUUAUACGACGGUGUAAUAGUUACAACAGCAAGGGGUGUGCUACUUCAAGGCUAUUCAUGGUCUGAUCAUAUAAAAUAUAGUAAUCAAGUUGUACAACGUCGUACCCCAGGUGGAGCAUAGGCAGAUGACGUUGAAAUCAUACUUUCUUUUUUGUGAAAAAUAAUAAUAUAUCUUCAAUGCAAUUGGAAGCGACACACAUUAGACGGAAAAUUGUAAGGAAAAGGGACAAUGAAAUCAAUAAGGAGUUAAGUGUUUCAUGAUUUUUAUUGAACACAUUGUAUAUUAAGUAAUUUUGCAAUAGAGAGCUAAAAAGAGGAUCUGAUCUUGAGAAAUAUUAGAGAAAAGAUAACAGAUAGUAAGUUCAAUUUGCAACUAAAUCAGCAGCAGUAUAGGUUAGUAUUAAGCAGCAGCAAAAUCAGCAGCAGUAGCACACAAUCAAUGUCAUGAAGGGCUGACCCGAAAGCCGCACUUUCCAUCGGCAAGCAUGCCAUUCAUGUGUGCAAAUAUGUAAAAAUGACUUCAGAUUUCCAUGUACCAUGUAACAGUCCAUCAAUGUGACAAUAUAAAGACAGCCAGCCAAGUGGUGGAUUGGUGGUGGUCACCAUAAUCAAGGCAGUAUGCCUGUAGAUAUAAUAGAAGAAAAAUACUUCAAUAUAUUAUCUGGGAAGCAGCAAAAUCCUUGAUACCUGAGAACAGUACAGGCAACGCUGCACUUGAUAGCUACAUUGGAGAGGAAGAGAACUUGGCUAGCUGGCUGCUGCCGCCGCAAGGCACAAAGAGGAGAUGAUGACAGGAACAGAUGGUUGGCGGCAGCGGCAAGAAGAGUCUCCCUCAAUUGCAUAUACUGGCGCAAAAAAGAAGGGGAAUUUAGAAAUUAACCAAGUAGAUGUUGUACCUGAACCUCAUGUAGGAUUUGGGGGAGGUUGUAGGCGAGCCAGGCAUCGAAGUCCACCCGUGACGACGCCGCUUCACGGAGAGGAUGCGGAGGAUCUCGGCCAGCGUGGGGCAGCCGGUGCAGAGUGUGGCCCGAUGGGCGCUGAUUUGGCAGCGGAGGACGUCGCGCGUUGCAUCGCAAAGCGGGGCGCAUGGGUGGAGGCCCGCGAGCAGGCAGAGGUGCGGCCGCGGCGGCGGGCGGGUUGAGGUCGGGCGCGGUGGCGAGUGGUGCGGCGGCGGCCGGGGGGAUUUGGCUCGGCCUGGCCAGGGUCGAGGUGAGGAGCCAGAU
rnacentral:lncRNA from 1 species